rnacentral:rRNA from 1 species
AUUGAACGCUGGCGGCAUGCCUUACACAUGCAAGUCGAACGGUAACGCGGGGCAACCUGGCGACGAGUGGCGAACGGGUGAGUAAUGCAUCGGAACGUGCCUGGUAGUGGGGGAUAACUGCUCGAAAGAGCAGCUAAUACCGCAUACGACCUGAGGGUGAAAGGGGGGGAUCGCAAGACCUCUCGCUAUCAGAGCGGCCGAUGUCGGAUUAGCUAGUUGGUGGGGUAAAGGCCCACCAAGGCGACGAUCCGUAGCUGGUCUGAGAGGACGACCAGCCACACUGGGACUGAGACACGGCCCAGACUCCUACGGGAGGCAGCAGUGGGGAAUUUUGGACAAUGGACGCAAGUCUGAUCCAGCCAUGCCGCGUGCGGGAAGAAGGCCUUCGGGUUGUAAACCGCUUUUGUCAGGGAAGAAAUCUUCUGGGCUAAUACCCUGGGAGGAUGACGGUACCUGAAGAAUAAGCACCGGCUAACUACGUGCCAGCAGCCGCAGUAAUAC